rnacentral:lncRNA from 1 species
UCAGCCCUGCUCUGGGUGCCACUGUAGGCUGGCCCCCUGUAAAUGGACUGCUUGUGCCUGCAGACUGGGCUGGGCGGCGCCGAGAACAGAUGGUCGUCUCACUCCCUCUCCCGGGGCGGCUGCAGCUGAGAUCUGGCCUGAGGACAGCUCUGCAGCACCCGUUCAGUGGUCCCAACCCUGUCAUCCCCAGUUGUCCUCCGGAUGCCCACUCCCUGGCCCUCGGUGGACCCUGGGACUGGGUCCUGUGCAGCUGGGGUCUGCACAGACAUGACAGGGGGCACAGGAAGUGACCGAUGAGGGUAUAUGGGGUCUCCACCCAAGCAGCCCAUGGGGAAUGGCCAAUGCUAAAUGCUUUCAGAGCUUGUUAUAGGCCAGGAACGUGGGAGCCUGCAGAACAAGAGCUAGAAAGGAGUGGGGCCCAAGGGUGAGCAGCGGAGUAGCCUGGAGUCAUCACGGAAGGCUUCCUUUUGGAGAGCGCUGAGCUGGAGAAGGAUGUUAGACCUGACGGUUCCAGUCGUCUUGGAGUCUCAGAUGAGGCACAAGGCUGAGCAUGGAAGGUGCUCAGGGUCCCCACACUAAAAGGAGACCGAGGCAGCCCCAGAACCCCGCUCCAGUUCCCGCUGCCCUGUAGUCCUCGCAGAGAACAGCCCUGCGAGGACUACAGGGAAGAUCCUUCCUGAGAAGGGCCGCUGUCCUAGGAAGGAGUGCAGAGGCUUCUCCCUCCCCUCCUGGGGAUGCUCCCCCAUCGGCCAUCAACUCAAGCCUCCCCUCCCCCGCCCCCGAUGCCACCCUGAGACGGGAAACUUUAGGAGGAUGUGACAAGACGCCAGCACUGGGCCUGACUCUGUGAGACCGGAGUUGGCCAGUCAAGGUCACGUCAUGGUCCUGCUGCCAGAGUGGACCCUGAACCAGGAAAUUGAACCGCCUUAGGAGAGCCCACCUGCGAAGCAGCCUGGCAGGGGGUGAGCCUCAGAGCUCCUUGGGGGGCACACUGAACACAGCUGGGCCAUCCAGGCGGCUCUGGCCAAGAACCCACAACAAUGCCCACUGGGUCUCUGCCACCCAGAGGCCCCCUUGCAGGCUUGAGGUGCUCCAGUCACACCUCUGUCUUCCCAGGCUCCCUCCCGACCACUCUGGGGAAGCCAGAGCCGCAGUUAGUGAGUAGCAAGGAGACAGCACCUGGAGAGUGUGACACACACACCCACAGCCCUGUACAUACCCCCCCCCCCCCCCGCCUUCUCGCUUCCCCCCCCCCCGCCCCAGUUAUAGGAUUAGGAGCCUGGAUUAUCAGGGGCUAGGCUGGCGGGAGAAGCUUUGAACUGGAUAGGAGCUCAAAGUUCCCCCAAAGACUGGUCUUGGCUUUGGAGACGCCGAGGAUGAGAUAGUUUGGGAGCUGCGCUCGCCAGUGACUAGGUGUGUGACCACCGAGGCUACCUGAACGUGUAAAUUACUCGACCCUCGCUCCGUGCUUUGGUUUAGAGAAAGUACCUUCUCACAGGUACUUCUGAGGAUUUGGAGAACUGACGUGUGGGCAGCCCUGACAACAGUGCCAGGCACACUGUAAACGCUGGGUAAGCGUCAGCUCUCAGGAGGAGAAGUAGCAUUAAUUAGCAACAGGAAUAAGAAUAGAAGCAGCGCCUAAAAGUGACCCCAAAAUAAAGCUGUUUGGGUCAGAUAGGAUAGAUAUGAAGGGAAGUCGUGGGAGAAAAAUAAAUCUGUUUGCUACUGAUAUCCCGCUGAGUUCAGCCUGUUUCAUAAACCUGGUACGCGGCUAUCAUUUCAUAGGAUCUGUAAUAAAAGCAGAGCCGCGCUGAGUGCACAGGAGGCUUGGAGCAGCUAUGCCCCAUCUAAGCGGUCUGGGAAGGCUUCCAGGAAGAGGUGGCACAGAGUAAGGCCUCGAGCCAUGCAGCGGUGGAGAUACACCCCCAGGAGGAGAGAGGGGUCCAGGACCCUCGUACCUGUCGUGUCCUUUCCACUCACACCGCAGCCCUUGGGACAGUUCCGUCCAGUGACAUCACUGCACUACAUACGCCCAGCAGGGAUGGGCCCUGGGACAGGGAGGGGCAGACUCUGUGUGCCUUGGGGGGCAGGGAGAUAAAAAUCCUUGCGCACCAAAUGAAUGUAGCUGAUGGUGAGAUGCAGGAAUUCACGCAUGCUGCCAGGUUCCAAGGAGAACCCAGCCCAGCCCGGACAGUCUGCACGCGCGUGCGCUCUCUCUCUCUUUCUCUCUCUCUCUCUCUCUCUCUUCUCUCACUCUCUUUUCCCCAAAACCACUUCUUCUUCUGGGCACGUGACAGGGUCACACUCUCCACCUGCCUGAAGUUAGUUCCACGUGGCUUCCUUGGCCGAUGACAUGAGAGCAGAAAGGACAUAUGUCCCUUCCAGGGGAUGGCUUUAAGAGCCAGUGCGUAUGUGAUUCCCAAGCCCUCUUUCUCUUUGCCACCAUGGGCAGCAGAGCCCCGGGGAGGGGAACUCUCUCAGCCUGCAUUCUGAAGAAGGAUGACCUGGAGUAGGGCCCCCAAAUGGCCAGCAGUGAGCAGGUGGCCUAAAAAGCACACGACGUCGUUAAUCCACUGAGAUUGGGGCUGUUUAUCGUCGUAGGCUAGCUCACCUAUCCUGGGGGAUGCUAUCAUAAUUUUUUUAAUGGCCCAAAUAGAAAACAAAUCCUGAGAGACUCUUCUUUGAGUCCUGUGACCUUUCCUGUGUUGGAGCCCCCAUGCCCGGGGACAGCCGGUCUGGAUUCUAGUUCCUUCUCUGCCCUGACACUCUGUGCCUUGGGUGAUACUGUAGUCCAAGAGGGCCACUGACCCCAGAGUGGCUAUGAGAGCCCAGUAUUGUGGGGGGUACAGUCUCCAGGGACAUGGGGGUUAAGGGAACAGCCAGCGGACAGCCUGCAUUCAUCAACCUCCCUUCUUGAGCCCUGGGGUCACAGUGAAGGUCAGACCCAGAGUUUGACAAAGGACAAACCCAAGACCUGGGGGAGCCCAGAGGGCACAUGGUGGUCCUUGCUGCUGGUGGGCCUGGGGCCAGCAGCCCCCAGGCUGCCCAACGGGGUGGAAGUGGCAGCCUAGAAGCCAAGUGUCCCUGCUUGGUUAAUCUAAAAAUAAACAGAAAGGCAACAAAAAUCUAUGUUUCAAUUACUGCGCACAAGCUGUUCAAACAGCCAGCUCUGCACUGGAGAUGUGAACUUGUCAACAGAGGCUGCCUCGUUUGCAUGCUUGGGUGGUGAUAAAACACAAAACCUCGCAACAGGCUGCCCUCUGGUCUGGGUGUUGUGGGGGGUUUUUUAAUUAAAUUAAAAAUACAGACGUAGAUGAAAGACAGUGAGACUCUGAAGCGAGUACAUCAAGAUGGAGCAGCUGCUCCCAAAACAAAGGUGGAGGAGGCGCUGUGGUCCGAGACAAGCUAGGCUCUUGGGAGAGAGGUCAGCGGGAGAGUGGCGGAAACAAGGGGUCAGUGGCCAGGACCAGGGGACAAAAGCCCAAGGGCCCCCAGACCCUCUUUCCCGCCCCUGCUGAUGGUGGAGGAAGCCCGAGGGAGCCGAAGCAAAGGCCCUUUAAGGACCUGUCUCUGUUGCAGAGAGAGUGUCACAGCCCGUGUCUAGGGUGAGCUCAGCAGGCUGCACGCGUGGCAGGCAAAGCUGGGGCUCCGUCCUUGACAUUUAUCUCAACUCCCACGUGCCCGCCCUCACGCUGUCUGAGCUCCAAUGUGGUCUGUUCUCUGAAAUCGAUGAAGCCCCAGGCAGCAGGGCCACCCUGACAUGCCCUGCCUCCUCCAGCCCCAACCAGCUCCUCCCUCCCCUGAGCCCAGGC